rnacentral:snRNA from 1 species
AUACCUUUCUCGGCCUUUUGGCUAAGAUCAAGUGUAGUAUGUCCCAUAAUAUCUAACGAUAUUUUAUAGUUUUAACAAACAAGUAUGGUUCCGUGGAAACAUUGUACCGUAGAAGACUGGGUCAAAACGCUAGGAACAUCA